GGACGAACGCUGGCGGCGUGCUUACCACAUGCAAGUCGAACGGAAAGGCCCUUCGGGGUACUCGAGUGGCGAACGGGUGAGUAACACGUGGGUGAUCUGCCCUGCACUUUGGGAUAAGCCUGGGAAACUGGGUCUAAUACCGAAUAGGACCACGCGCUUCAUGGUGUGUGGUGGAAAGCUUUUGCGGUGUGGGAUGGGCCCGCGGCCUAUCAGCUUGUUGGUGGGGUAAUGGCCUACCAAGGCGACGACGGGUAGCCGGCCUGAGAGGGUGACCGGCCACACUGGGACUGAGAUACGGCCCAGACUCCUACGGGAGGCAGCAGUGGGGAAUAUUGCACAAUGGGCGCAAGCCUGAUGCAGCGACGCCGCGUGAGGGAUGACGGCCUUCGGGUUGUAAACCUCUUUCACCAGGGACGAAGCGUAAGUGACGGUACCUGGAGAAGAAGCACCGGCCAACUACGUG
rnacentral:rRNA from 1 species